rnacentral:rRNA from 1 species
GACGAACCGUGCGAACGUUAUUCGGAAUCAUUGGGCUUAAAGGGCGCGUAGGCGGCGGUGUAAGUUGGAAGUGAAAUCCCAUCGGCUCAACCGUGGAAUUGCUCCCAGUACUGCAUCGCUCGAGGGGGAUGAGGGUCUGGCGGAAGCUACCGGUGGAGCGGUCGGAAAUGUGUUGAUAUCGGUGGGAACGCCGAGUGGCCGAAAG